GGCAUCAUGGCCCAACGGUAAGGACACUUGCCUUUCAUCCUGGAGACCCGGGUUCGAUCACCGGUCGAGCAGCUA